GAUGAAGAACGUAGCGAAAUGCGAUAAGUAAUGUGAAUUGCAGAAUUCAGUGAAUCAUCGAAUCUUUGAACGCACAUUGCGCCCGCCAGUAUUCUGGCGGGCAUGCCUGUUCGAGCGUCAUUUCAACCAUCAAGCCCCCGGCUUGUGUUGGGGACCUGCGGCUGCCGCAGGCCCUGAAAACCAGUGGCGGGCUCGCUAGUCACUCCGAGCGUAGUAAUACAUCUCGCUCAGGGCGUGCUGCGGGUUCCGGCCGUUAAAAAGCCUUAUUUACCCAAGGUUGACCUCGGAUCAGGUAGGAAGACCCGCUGAACUUAAGCAUGUCAAUAAGCGGAGGA
rnacentral:misc_RNA from 1 species